ensembl:lncRNA
GUGGGCAUCUGCAGGGCAAAUACAGCAGGUUUCUCCAGGCCUUUCUGGGAGCUAAUGAGAGGAAGGGGUCUGGUGCAAAGCCUCCCUGAUAUUUCUAUUUUCCCUGUAAGUAGCAACUGGAAUUUGCACCAUCCACGUCAGAUGGAAAAUAGAAGCCUGGAAAAGCUGACACUCUCAUUGAUUUGCUCUCUUUGCCAUCGCUGCUUGCAAGAGGAAGAGAUGUGACUUUAAAAUUGCAAUUAGGAACCAGCCUGCUAAGGGUUCCUUGCUGAGCUCCCGCACGCUGUGCUCGUCACAGGCCCCCUCUGCUCAGUUCCUGAGGAGACCACUCACCUAUCAAGUGCUUCAUAGCCACACAGGUGGCCAGUAGCUACCGUAUCAGACAGCGCAGGCCUAGAGCAAAGAAUCGGCUAGAGAUAUUUGCCACUGCUGGUAGAAUCCAAAAUCCAGCUACCUUGUCCUGCUUCCCUCAACCUCCUUACUGGCCUUUGUACUGAGAGUGGAUCGGGUGGUCAGGUGUAAUAUGACUUCUGUACCUGGGCAUUUUCACUUCUUGCUCUCAUUCCUGCCCCCUGAUAACAAAUCAGAGCAUCGCCUCCACCACAGUUUAUUUUGGACUCAUGCAUUCCGAAACGUUUAUAGGGUACUUCCUAGAUGCUAUGCCCUGUGCCUGACCCUAGGGAUACAGGUGAACAGCCUUUCCUUGUGAAUUAAUUACAGAACUUGUCAGUGUUCUUAGGAUCUAGUGGGGAGACAGACUUUAAUGAAAUAAUUGCACAAGUGUGUAAUUUCAAACUCUGAUAAGUGCUAUGAAGGAAAUGUACAUGCAAAAAAUGCCAACCCGUGGGUCACGGCUCAAGUGGCUUAUCCCUGGAGGAGUUUAAUAGAGGUUGUUCAGUCCCUGGCCGGGAUGUCUUAGUGAGCAUUGAUGCGAUAGACAAGAAUUGGAUGAGAAGAUCUCAAGCCCCCUUCCAGUCCCAGCAUCCGUAAGCUACAUUUGGAGUUUCUAGGAUGGACAGCAUCUCACCCGUUCUUAUGCCAGUGAUCCAGUUCAUCUAGUUUGUUCACUCUCUCCAAAUAUACUUGAGGCCAGCUGGAACACCAACAGUAAUGAGGAAGCGAAGACAACUCAUGCAUUCAUUUAUGCAUGCAUGCAUCAAUUCUCAUCGAGUAAUCUGUGGGAUGUCAAGCACUGCUCUGGACACUGAGAAAACCAAGACCAGCAUUCUCUUCGGCCAGACCACACUGCCAACUGGGCACACUUCCCCAGAGAAGAUAACAAUUUAAAGAAGGGGAAAAAUCACUGCUAACAGUACUCCUUUUCUGGUUCCUAAAGUGAUAUGGUCC